GGGAGGGUCUCAAAUCCCUGGCCUUGUCCCUCUUCCAGCACCCAUGCUUACGUGUGACAUAAGGGACAAUGGUUCGGUAUGGUAGUUAAGAGACUACAGGCAUAUGACACCGUUACUAUUGGCCAUAAAGACACCAUUCAAUUAGCAGCUGAGCUUGUCUCGGAUUCUCCUUGGUUGCAGUGAAGUGUUCUGGAAUAAAACUCUUGGCCCUCAUGCUUGACAGCUGCACAUCAUAGUAUACAUAAAUCUGCAACAGUAAGAAGUUUGCAUCCCGAACAGUACUACCCAGAUUUAUGGACAUCAAUAUCCGGGGCAUGAUGAUAACUGAACAUCAACAAAAGAGUAUCAAAAAUAUGAAGUAAAAAGUUCUGCAUUGCUGUGAGA